UCGGUCGACGCCAGUCUUUCCCUGUGUCUUCAGCGUUGGAUCGUGUUCAGCGCCACGAUCAUAGUUUAUCAAGGGCUGGGCAUCCUUUCUCGAUAAUGUGGGUCACUAGAUUACAACCAUGGGUGGCUGCGUGGGAUGAUGCAGACGAGCAGUUGGCUGAGGAUACCGGUCCACACACUGAGCCUUCGUUUCGGGCGUACCUGACCUGGUACGAACCGAAGACUCGUUGCCGUUUGACGUAUGUUGACAUGCAUCCACAGCCACAUGUUGUGACUUCGCAGGAUCGCUAUGCACGACACAGGGAUAAGGCAUUAGCUGGGGCGGUGAGUAAAUGUUGACGGCAUUUUCGAUCUUUUAAUAUUUGUAUACUAAGUUUUUUUUUGUUGCAGUUCGAGGCAUGUAGGCUGCUUGAAUUAGAUUGCUCACUGAAUGUAAUGAGGAUUCAUGGCGGGUCUACAAUGAGCGUGCCGGCACAACUCGAGGCCUGGACCACUCAACGUGAUAGAGCCCGAGGUAUCCUUCAGGCCUUUGGUACGCGGACGGAGUACGAGGAUUCCUACGGAUCGUCACAAGCGUCGAUGUCGGUUCCUUGUGGUCCCGCAUGGCAGCAGCCUCCCUUAUACCACCGACAGUACGAAGGUAUUGUGUGAUAUUUACCGAUCCGUAUGUUUAUAUGCAGUAUUUAAAUACGACUCCAUACAGGGUACGGGUACCCCGGUUCUCAGUCCUAUGGAGGGCCAGGUGCCUCACAAGGGCCUCCAUUUCAAGGAACCUAGUUUACCUCUAUGCCACAUGCUGGAGGGACUUUAGGAUCACAACAGUUCACCGGAGCGGGGCCGUCUUCAUAUCACCCUAUGCCGUCACCAGGAGGAUAUGAAGGAGCUUCUUCCUAUCCACCACCACCACCACUUCC